AGGAAUAUUGGUCAAUGGACGAGAGUCUGAACCAGCCAAGUAGCGUGAAGGAUGACUGCCCUAUGGGUUGUAAACUUCUUUUAUAUGGGAAUAAAGUGGUCCACGUGUGGAUUUUUGUAUGUACCAUAUGAAUAAGGAUCGGCUAACUCCGUGCCAGCAGCCGCGGUAAUACGGAGGAUCCGAGCGUUAUCCGGAUUUAUUGGGUUUAAAGGGAGCGUAGGUGGACAGUUAAGUCAGUUGUGAAAGUUUGCGGCUCAACCGUAAAAUUGCAGUUGAUACUGGCUGUCUUGAGUACAGUAGAGGUGGGCGGAAUUCGUGGUGUAGCGGUGAAAUGCUUAGAUAUCACGAAGAACUCCGAUUGCGAAGGCAGCUCACUGGACUGCAACUGACACUGAUGCUCGAAAGUGUGGGUAUCAAACAGGAUUAGAUACCCUGGUAGUCCACACAGUAAACGAUGAAUACUCGCUGUUUGCGAUAUACAGUAAGCGGCCAAGCGAAAGCAUUAAGUAUUCCACCUGGGGAGUACGCCGGCAACGGUGAAACUCAAAGGAAUUGACGGGGGCCCGCACAAGCGGAGGAACAUGUGGUUUAAUUCGAUGAUACGCGAGGAACCUUACCCGGGCUUAAAUUGCAUUUGAAUAAUCAAGAAAUUGGUUAGUCGUAAGACAAAUGUGAAGGUGCUGCAUGGUUGUCGUCAGCUCGUGCCGUGAGGUGUCGGCUUAAGUGCCAUAACGAGCGCAACCCUUAUCUUCAGUUACUAACAGGUCAUGCUGAGGACUCUGGAGAGACUGCCGUCGUAAGAUGUGAGGAAGGUGGGGAUGACGUCAAAUCAGCACGGCCCUUACGUCCGGGGCUACACACGUGUUACAAUGGGGGGUACAGAAGGCCGCUACCUGGUGACAGGAUGCUAAUCCCAAAAGCCUCUCUCAGUUCGGAUCGAAGUCUGCAACCCGACUUCGUGAAGCUGGAUUCGCUAGUAAUCGCGCAUCAGCCAUGGCGCGGUGAAUACGUUCCCG
rnacentral:rRNA from 1 species